rnacentral:rRNA from 1 species
AUGCCUUACACAUGCAAGUCGAACGGCAGCACGGGGGCAACCCUGGUGGCGAGUGGCGAACGGGUGAGUAAUACAUCGGAACGUGUCCUGUAGUGGGGGAUAGCCCGGCGAAAGCCGGAUUAAUACCGCAUACGCUCUACGGAGGAAAGGGGGGGAUCUUAGGACCUCCCGCUACAGGGGCGGCCGAUGGCAGAUUAGCUAGUUGGUGGGGUAAAGGCCUACCAAGGCGACGAUCUGUAGCUGGUCUGAGAGGACGACCAGCCACACUGGGACUGAGACACGGCCCAGACUCCUACGGGAGGCAGCAGUGGGGAAUUUUGGACAAUGGGGGCAACCCUGAUCCAGCAAUGCCGCGUGUGUGAAGAAGGCCUUCGGGUUGUAAAGCACUUUUGUCCGGAAAGAAAACGCCGUGGUUAAUACCCGUGGCGGAUGACGGUACCGGAAGAAUAAGCACCGGCUAACUACGUGCCAGCAGCCGCGGUAAUACGUAGGGUGCAAGCGUUAAUCGGAAUUACUGGGCGUAAAGCGUGCGCAGGCGGUCCGCUAAGACAGAUGUGAAAUCCCCGGGCUUAACCUGGGAACUGCAUUUGUGACUGGCGGGCUAGAGUAUGGCAGAGGGGGGU